UACGUAGGUCCCGAGCGUUGUCCGGAUUUAUUGGGCGUAAAGCGAGCGCAGGUGGUUUAUUAAGUCUGGUGUAAAAGGCAGUGGCUCAACCAUUGUAUGCAUUGGAAACUGGUAGACUUGAGUGCAGGAGAGGGGAGUGGAAUUCCAUGUGUAGCGGUGAAAUGCGUAGAUAUAUGGAGGAACACCGGUGGCGAAAGCGGCUCUCUGGCCUGUAACUGACACUGAGGCUCGAAAGCGUGGGGAGCAAACAGG
rnacentral:rRNA from 1 species